rnacentral:rRNA from 1 species
AAGACAUGCAAGUCGAACGGGACUACUUUUGUAGCAAUACCGAGAGUAGUUUAGUGGCGAACGGGUGCGUAACACGUGGGCAAUCUGCCGAGAAGUGGGGGAUAGCUCGCCGAAAGGCGAAUUAAUACCGCAUAUGAUCAGGGACGACAUCUUCCCACAUCAAAGCCGGGGUAACCUGGCGCUUCUUGAUGAGCCCGCGGCCUAUCAGCUAGUUGGUGAGGUAACGGCUCACCAAGGCUAUGACGGGUAGCUGGUCUGAGAGGACGACCAGUCACACUGGAACUGAGACACGGUCCAGACACCUACGGGUGGCAGCAGUCGAGAAUUUUUCUCAAUGGGGGAAACCCUGAAGGAGCGACGCCGCGUGGAGGAUGAAGGCUUUCGGGUUGUAAACUCCUGUCAUUUGAGAACAAGUGUAGCGAAGUAACUACUCGCUACUUGAUAGUAUCAGAAGAGGAAGAGACGGCUAA